rnacentral:rRNA from 1 species
AGUGAACGCUGGCGGUAGGCCUAACACAUGCAAGUCGAACAGCAGCACAGUAAGAGCUUGCUCUUACGGGUGGCGAGUGGCGGACGGGUGAGGAAUACAUCGGAAUCUACUUUUUCGUGGGGGAUAACGUAGGGAAACUUACGCUAAUACCGCAUACGACCUACGGGUGAAAGCAGGGGAUCUUCGGACCUUGCGCGAUUGAAUGAGCCGAUGUCGGAUUAGCUAGUUGGCGGGGUAAAGGCCCACCAAGGCGACGAUCCGUAGCUGGUCUGAGAGGAUGAUCAGCCACACUGGAACUGAGACACGGUCCAGACUCCUACGGGAGGCAGCAGUGGGGAAUAUUGGACAAUGGGCGCAAGCCUGAUCCAGCCAUACCGCGUGGGUGAAGAAGGCCUUCGGGUUGUAAAGCCCUUUUGUUGGGAAAGAAAAGCAGCAGGUUAAUACCCCGCUGUUCCGACGGUACCCAAAGAAUAAGCACCGGCUAACUUCGUG